AGAUUCUUGUUUAUUGAGUCAGGAAAUGAUCAUGUUUUGUAAAUGAUAGCUCAAUACAGAUAGUAUAGCACUUGAAAAAUAGGCAACUGUAAUCUUGUAUUAUUACAGAAGGGAAUAGAGUUUCAUCUUGCAAUUAACAUUCAAUAUCAUACUUCUGGUAAAAUGUCAAUACACAAACAUUAGUUAACAAGUGUGUCAGAGAUGUAGUAUAGAUACUGACAUCACCGGUCAUGAACGUGCUGCCUGCCUAGAGCUUCUUAAGAGAGGCUCUGAGAUGAGGCUGAAGAUCAGUUAGACUGGUGGCCAUCUCCACAACAUAUGAUAGUUCACAAUUCUCCACUUUAAAAACUCGAGUUAUCUCCUUGACCUUGGAAGCAUUGCCAACCAGUUCGCUUUUAAGCUUCACAACUCCCUCUUUCAUGUCAAAUGUUCCUUUCUGGACUUCAACAAGACCAGUGCUCUGAGCGAUGACGACUUCAAUGGUCCCAUCGGGUUUAGGUCUCCAGUAUCCGCUCUCAGAAUGCAUAGGUUGUCCAGAUUUCAAGUUCCAUGUCUUUUGAGAAUAAGCUAUCACAGGCUAAUAUAGUCCUUCAGUAUAACCUUUUUGCUCAACAAGACGCUUGGCGUAAAUCAACCUUCAAAACUCAUAUAUUUAGAUGAAUUUCAUGAAUUUGAGACAAGAUCAUUUGAACUCAAACUAUGCCCUUCUCAAUACACAUCACACGACGUGUUUUUCAGUAUUCUUAAAGAACAUCUCACCAAUUGGGGUGACUAUUAUGAUGUUUGUGAUGACUAUCUCAUCAAACGAAUGAUAUUUUAUAUGGAUAAAAUUAUUGAAGAUGGAUUGAAAAAGGGUCGUGCUACUAGUUGUCAGAUUUUUGUUGAUAUGACUUUGAAAAUGGAAUAUGUUUUGGAUCGGAGAGUACCGUGGCGAUUGAGUGGGGGUAUGGUACCUGCUAGUAAGACAUCAAUAAUGGAGAUUGAUGAUGAUCAAGGCAUACAAACGAUAUUUCGACCCUCCAAAACAAGUUGUUCAAGACAGA
rnacentral:misc_RNA from 1 species